AUGCCCACUUGAUCCUGGAGGAUAUUUUGUAAUCAAAGGCACUGAGAAGGUUAUUUUAAUUCAAGAGCAGCUCUCGAAGAACAGGAUAAUCAUUGAUACAGAUAAAAAAGGUUCUGUACAAGCAUCUGUUACCAGCAGCACAGAAAAAACAAAGAGCAAAACAAUUAUAAAAAUGGAGAAAGAAAAGGUGUACUUAGAGUUGAAUAUGUUCAAAACCAAGGUCCCCAUAAUGGUUGUCAUGAG
rnacentral:misc_RNA from 1 species